rnacentral:tRNA from 1 species
CCUGGUGUCUCAGUGGUAAAAGAAUCUGCCUGCCAAUGCAGGAGAUACAGGUUUGAUCCCUGAUCCAGG